rnacentral:rRNA from 1 species
GCGGAGGAAAAGAAACCAACAGGGAUUGCCUCAGUAACGGCGAGUGAAGCGGCAAAAGCUCAAAUUUUAAAGCUGGCAUCUUCGGUGUCCGCAUUGUAAUUUUGUGAGGCAUCUCCGGGUAGGGCGCCGGCCUAAGUUCCUUGGAACAGGACGUCACAGAGGGUGAGAAUCCCGUGCUUGGCUGGCUGUCCCCGUCCAUGUGAGGUGUCUUCGACGAGUCGAGUUGUUUGGGAAUGCAGCUCAAAAUGGGUGGUAAAUUUCAUCUAAAGCUAAAUAUUGGUGGGAGACCGAUAGCGCACAAGUAGAGUGAUCGAAAGAUGAAAAGCACUUUGAAAAUAGAGUUAAAAAGUACGUGAAAUUGUUGAAAGGGAAGCGCUUGAGACCAGACUUCGGUAGGGGGUGAUCAGCCGUGCUUCGGCGCGGUGCACUUGUUCCUCUCCGGGCCAGCAUCGGUUGAGGCGGCGGGAUAAAGGUCCCGGGAAUGUGGCUCCUUCACGGGAGUGUUAUAGCCCGGGUGAAUGCCGCCAGCCUCGACCGAGGACCGCGCCCGCAAGGGUUAGGAUGCUUGGCAUAAUGGUCUUCAGCGACCCGUCU